rnacentral:rRNA from 1 species
GACGAACGUUGGCGGCGUGCUUAACACAUGCAAGUCGAACGGAAAGGCCCUGCUUUUGUGGGGUGCUCGAGUGGCGAACGGGUGAGUAACACGUGAGUAACCUGCCCUUGACUUUGGGAUAACUUCAGGAAACUGGGGCUAAUACCGGAUAGGAGCUCCUGCUGCAUGGUGGGGGUUGGAAAGUUUCGGCGGUUGGGGAUGGACUCGCGGCUUAUCAGCUUGUUGGUGGGGUAGUGGCUUACCAAGGCUUUGACGGGUAGCCGGCCUGAGAGGGUGACCGGCCACAUUGGGACUGAGAUACGGCCCAGACUCCUACGGGAGGCAGCAGUGGGGAAUAUUGCACAAUGGGCGGAAGCCUGAUGCAGCAACGCCGCGUGCGGGAUGACGGCCUUCGGGUUGUAAACCGCUUUCGCCUGUGACGAAGCGUGAGUGACGGUAAUGGGUAAAGAAGCACCGGCUAACUACGUGCCAGCAGCCGCGGUGAUACGUAGGGUGCGAGCGUUGUCCGGAUUUAUUGGGCGUAAAGGGCUCGUAGGUGGUUGAUCGCGUCGGAAGUGUAAUCUUGGGGCUUAACCCUGAGCGUGCUUUCGAUACGGGUUGACUUGAGGAAGGUAGGGGAGAAUGGAAUUCCUGGUGGAGCGGUGGAAUGCGCAGAUAUCAGGAGGAACACCAGUGGCGAAGGCGGUUCUCUGGGCCUUUCCUGACGCUGAGGAGCGAAAGCGUGGGGAGCGAACAGGCUUAGAUACCCUGGUAGUCCACGCUGUAAACGGUGGGUACUAGGUGUGGGGUCCAUUCCACGGGUUCCGUGCCGUAGCUAACGCUUUAAGUACCCCGCCUGGGGAGUACGGCCGCAAGGCUAAAACUCAAAGGAAUUGACGGGGCCCCGCACAAGCGGCGGAGCAUGCGGAUUAAUUCGAUGCAACGCGUAGAACCUUACCUGGGUUUGACAUGGAUCGGGAGUGCUCAGAGAUGGGUGUGCCUCUUUUGGGGUCGGUUCACAGGUGGUGCAUGGCUGUCGUCAGCUCGUGUCGUGAGAUGUUGGGUUAAGUCCCGCAACGAGCGCAACCCUUGUUCACUGUUGCCAGCACGUUAUGGUGGGGACUCAGUGGAGACCGCCGGGGUCAACUCGGAGGAAGGUGGGGAUGACGUCAAGUCAUCAUGCCCCUUAUGUCCAGGGCUUCACGCAUGCUACAAUGGCUGGUACAGAGAGUGGCGAGCCUGUGAGGGUGAGCGAAUCUCGGAAAGCCGGUCUCAGUUCGGAUUGGGGUCUGCAACUCGACCUCAUGAAGUCGGAGUCGCUAGUAAUCGCAGAUCAGCAACGCUGCGGUGAAUACGUUCCCGGG